GACGAACGCUGGCGGCGUGCCUAAUACAUGCAAGUAGAACGCUGAAGGAGGAGCUUGCUUCUCUGGAUGAGUUGCGAACGGGUGAGUAACGCGUAGGUAACCUGCCUGGUAGUGGGGGAUAACUAUUGGAAACGAUAGCUAAUACCGCAUAAUAACAGUUGUUGCAUGACAACUGUUUGAAAGGUGCAAUUGCAUCACUACCAGAUGGACCUGCGUUGUAUUAGCUAGUUGGUGGGGUAACGGCUCACCAAGGCGACGAUACAUAGCCGACCUGAGAGGGUGAUCGGCCACACUGGGACUGAGACACGGCCCAGACUCCUACGGGAGGCAGCAGUAGGGAAUCUUCCGCAAUGGGCGAAAGCCUGACGGAGCAACGCCGCGUGAGUGAAGAAGGUUUUCGGAUCGUAAAGCUCUGUUGUAAGAGAAGAACGAGUGUGAGAGUGGAAAGUUCACA
rnacentral:rRNA from 1 species